UAUUUCUUGUAAUAUUCAUGCAAACAAUCUAAACUUUCAGGCAAAAAAUAUAUUUUCAACUACUUUCGACUCGACACUAUAAAAAACCCUUUGACAGUCAUUGCUAACCAACUAAUUUGAAGAGUACUAUUUCAUGCCAAAAAUGGGUAAUCACGGAUGACAACCAAAAAUAGCUACAUAAUACAAUCUAAUCAUAACAAGUCGACUUAAGAUUUUUUGUUUGAAUACUUUAAUAAGUUUUCUGAAGUGUGUUUCUCAAGUGUCGUAUUUAAUAAAUCAUGUUUCCAAGUGUUUUUAUACCAAGGUACGAGUUCCCUAAGGAAGUAUUAUGUCGUACUUUACGUACUCCGACUUCUACGUACGUCUGCUGUAUUUUGGUUCACAACAAAUUUUGUUUUGGAUUUAAAAACUUCUUUAAAAUGGCUCCAUAUAUGGGGUUCGGCAAAUCCUCAACAAAUCGAAACCGUUCUCAAUUUCCUGGACGAACAUAGAGAUUUAGCUCGCGGGAGAUUGAAUAGUUGAACCCAGCCAGGAAGAUAACCUGAGAGUCCAACUGUAAAAGCUGCCUAAGUACCACCACCAUUGACACAAAAAUGCCGACUUUCACACCUUCCUCUCGACAUACACACUCUACAAGGAGACUGCCUACUACUAGGAGAUUACAGAGGAUCUGCCAGCACAGGUGUAAGAAGCAGAUUGUAUCAAUAUGAAGAGGAGCGUGCACAGAGAGAGACGGUGCAAAACGCAGAGCUUGCAGGCAUCAGGGGCGAAUUGGCAGGCAUCAGUCCUACCCUGUUGCAGCUGCAUAACACAAUAAGGAAAUAUGUGGAUAGGAAUUAAGAUUUUGUUAGUGUUUUGUUAGUCAUUAAUUGUGUUUAAUAUUUCUUUGUUAUUAAUUUGUAAUGUUUAAACAGGGUAAUAGUAAAUAAAACUUUAAGUAUAUAA